AGUCAGAUUUUCUUGAAGCUCAGCUCUCAGAAAAGACCACAGGAGUGGAAACUGAAACUGCAACAAAUGGCAGCCAAGUAAAAGAAGAGCUGCAGAAAGCACCUGAGAUCACUAAAAAGGUCAGUGAACUGAAUGAACCUGGUGAAGCUGAACACUCAGAGAAGACUGAUGACAGCACAAAGGGAGAAUCUGAAAUCAAGUCUUUAUCAUCUGAAACCAAGGAG